rnacentral:rRNA from 1 species
UACAGAGGUCUCAAGCGUUGUUCGGAUUCAUUGGGCGUAAAGGGUGCGUAGGUGGCGCGGUAAGUCGGGUGUGAAAUCUCGGAGCUUAACUCCGAAAUUGCAUUCGAUACUGCCGUGCUUGAGGACUGGAGAGGAGACUGGAAUUCAUGGUGUAGCAGUGAAAUGCGUAGAGAUCAUGAGGAAGACCGUGGCGAAGGCGGGUCUCUGGA